rnacentral:rRNA from 1 species
GACGAACGCUGGCGGCGUGCUUAACACAUGCAAGUCGAACGUGAUUUUUGUGGAAAUUCUUUCGGGAAUGGAAAUGAAAUGAAAGUGGCGAACUGGUGAGUAACACGUUAGCAACCUACCUUACACAGGGGGAUAGCCGUUGGAAACGACGAUUAAUACCGCAUGAGACCACAGAAUCGCAUGAUAUAGGGGUCAAAGAUUGAUCGGUGUAAGAAGGGCUCGCGUCUGAUUAGCUAGUUGGAAGGGUAAAGGCCUACCAAGGCGACGAUCAGUAGCCGGUCUGAGAGGAUGAACGGCCACAAUGGAACUGAGACACGGUCCAAACUCCUACGGGAGGCAGCAGUGGGGAAUAUUGCAGAAUGGGGCGAACCCUGAUGCAGCGACGCCGCGUGAGCGAAGAAGGUUUUCGAAUCGUAAAGCUCUGUCCUAUGAGAAGAUAAUGACGGUAACAGAGGAGGAAGCCCCGGCUAAAUACGUG